GUUAUUUUGGACUACGCUAUUAGUCUAAGUCCUUCAUUGGACUACGUUAUCUGGGUCAAGACACCUACGGAUACUCCUCUAGUCUGUAGCUCUGUCGCUAGUCAUUAAACAAUCUCCUUCGACAGGCUCAGGACACCGCUUAGAGUCGUGGGGUAGUGUGAUUAGCUGAACAAGCCUCAAUAACUUUGACGGAGAGGAUCAAC
rfam:Beggiatoa sp. IS2 Ga0073106_1678, whole genome shotgun sequence.